rnacentral:rRNA from 1 species
AUUGAACGCUGGCGGCAUGCUUUACACAUGCAAGUCGAACGGUAACAGGGAGCUUGCUCCGCUGACGAGUGGCGAACGGGUGGGUAAUGCGUCGGAACGUGCCGAGUAGUGGGGGAUAACGCAUCGAAAGGUGUGCUAAUACCGCAUACGUACUGAGGUAGAAAGUGGGGGACCUUCGGGCCUCACGCUAUUCGAGCGGCCGACGUCUGAUUAGCUAGUUGGUGAGGUAAAGGCUCACCAAGGCGACGAUCAGUAGCGGGUCUGAGAGGAUGAUCAGCCAGACUGGGACUGAGGGACGGCCCAGACUCCUACGGGAGGCAGCAGUGGGGAAUUUUGGACAAUGGGCGCAAGCCUGAGCCAGCCAUGCCGCGUGUGUGAAGAAGGCCUUCGGGUUGUAAAGGACUUUUGUCCGGGAGCAAAUGCCUGGGGUUAAUAGCAUCGGGAGCUGAGGGUACCGGAAGAAUAAGCACCGGCUAACUACGUGCCAGCCGCCGCCGUAAUAC